rnacentral:rRNA from 1 species
AGAGUUUGAUCAUGGCUCAGAACGAACGCUGGCGGCGCGUUUUAAGCAUGCAAGUCGGACGGCAAGGCGGGUAGCAAUACCUGCCCUAGAGUGGCGAACGGGUGAGUAACACGUAGGUGAUCUACCUCUGGAUGGGGGAUAGCCCGUGGAAACACGGGGUAAUACCGCAUGAGGCCUUGUGGGUAAAGCCAUGAGGUGAAAGGUGCAAUUGCAUCGUCUGGGGAUGAGCCUGCGGUCCAUUAGUUAGUUGGCGGGGUAAUGGCCCACCAAGACUCCGAUGGAUAGCCGGCCUGAGAGGGUGGACGGCCACACUGGAACUGAGACACGGUCCAGACUCCUACGGGAGGCAGCAGCUAAGAAUCUUCCGCAAUGGGGGAAACCCUGACGGAGCGACGCCGCGUGGAUGAUGAAGGCCGUAAGGUUGUAAAAUCCUUUUGUCGGUGAAGAAUAAGCGGGGGAGUGGAAAGCCCCCGUGAUGACGUUAGCCGACGAAUAAGCCCCGGCUAAUUACGUGCCAGCAGCCGCGGUAAUACGUAUGGGGCGAGCGUUGUUCGGAUUUAUUGGGCGUAAAGGGCGUGUAGGCGGCUCAUCAAGUCUGGUGUGAAAACGCAAGGCUUAACCUUGCAUAGGCGCUGGAAACUGGUGGGCUUGAGUUCUUGAGGGGAAGCUGGAAUUCCAGGUGUAGGGGUGAAAUCUGUAGAUAUCUGGAAGAACACCGGUGGCGAAGGCGAGCUUCUAUCAGAGGACUGACGCUGAGGCGCGAAAGCGUGGGGAGCAAACAGGAUUAGAUACCCUAGUAGUCC